CUGCUCACAUUGGCAGCACAUACACUAAAAUUGGAAGGACACAAGAAAUUAGCAUGGCGCCUGAACAAGGAUGACACACAAAUUUGUGUGAAGUGUUCCAUAUUAUU